GAGUUUGAUCCUGGCUCAGGACGAACGCUGGCGGCGUGCCUAAUACAUGCAAGUCGAGCGCAGGAAGCCGUCUGAACCCUUCGGGGGGACGACGGUGGAAUGAGCGGCGGACGGGUGAGUAACACGUAAAGAACCUGCCCAUAGGUCUGGGAUAACCACGAGAAAUCGGGGCUAAUACCGGAUGUGUCAUCGGACCGCAUGGUCCGCUGAUGAAAGGCGCUUCGGCGUCGCCCAUGGAUGGCUUUGCGGUGCAUUAGCUAGUUGGUGGGGUAACGGCCCACCAAGGCGACGAUGCAUAGCCGACCUGAGAGGGUGAUCGGCCACACUGGGACUGAGACACGGCCCAGACUCCUACGGGAGGCAGCAGUAGGGAAUCUUCCACAAUGGACGAAAGUCUGAUGGAGCAACGCCGCGUGAACGAUGAAGGCUUUCGGGUCGUAAAGUUCUGUUGUAAGGGAAGAACAAGUGCCGCAGGCAAUGGCGGCACCUUGACGGUACCUUGCGAGAAAGCCACGGCUAACUACGUGCCAGCAGCCGCGGUAAUACGUAGGUGGCAAGCGUUGUCCGGAAUUAUUGGGCGUAAAGCGCGCGCAGGCGGCCUCUUAAGUCUGAUGUGAAAGCCCCCGGCUCAAC
rnacentral:rRNA from 1 species